rnacentral:rRNA from 1 species
UACGGGGGGGGCAAGCGUUGUUCGGAAUUACUGGGCGUAAAGGGCUCGUAGGCGGCCAACUAAGUCAGACGUGAAAUCCCUCGGCUUAACCGGGGAACUGCGUCUGAUACUGGAUGGCUAGAGGUUGGGAGAGGGAUGCGGAAUUCCAGGUGUAGCGGUGAAUGCGUAGAUAUCUGGAGGAACACCGGUGGCGAAGGCGGCUUUCUGGACGACAACUGACGCUGAGACGCGAAAGCGUGGGGAGCAAACAGG